AUUGAACGCUGGCGGCAGGCCUACCACAUGCAAGUCGAACGAGUGGCGGAAGGGUGAGGAAUGUCUGGGAAACUGUCUGCUGGUGGGCUAUAACCACUGGAAACGGUCGCUAAUACCGCAAACAAUCGUAUGUGCCUACAUGUGAUUAGCUCGUAGGUGGUGUAAAGGCUCACAUAGGCGACGAUCCCUAGCUGGUCUGAGAGGAUGACCAGCCACACUGGAACUGAGACACGGUCCAGCAUCGUACGGGAGGCAGCAGUAGGGAAUAUUGCACAAUGGGCGCAAGCCUGAUGCAGCCAGGCCGUGUGUAUGAAGAAGGCCUUCGGGUUGUAAAGUACUUUCAGCGUGGAGGCGUUACCCGCUGAAGAAGCACCGGCUAACUCCGUGCCAGCAGCCGCGGUAAUAC
rnacentral:rRNA from 1 species